AACCUAUGAUGUGGGCACUACCUAAGUAGGUCCUUGAAUCAUUCAUAUCCCUCAAACUGUGUUUCAAACUCUUCUUGCUUGAAUGCUGAGAUUUCCUGUCUAAUCUU